AUGCGAUUAAAAUUUUAAAUUUAAAAAAGGUAUAACAUGUUGACGAAGAAACACCAUUUCAGGGAGAUUCGCAUAGUUGUAGUUCUUGAAAAGCACAGAAGCAGAGAUAGAUAAGGCACAGAAACAUGGAAUCUACUGCUACUGCUACUGCUGCUGCUGCCUAUCCCUUACAUACGACGCCGUUUCAUCUCCGUAAUCUCUCAACUUCAUCUUCUCAGUUGUGUGCUUAUAAAGGACUUCAUCUUGGGUGCUCUUCAUAUAAACAUACAGUUUUGAGAAGUUCAUAUAGUUCUGUUCGAAAGGGCUUUCUAUGCAUGCCUAGAAAGAAUCUUGGUGUAUUUCGGGGCUAUAGAGAUCCAAAAGAGGAGAACCUCAAUAGACCAUAUUAUGAUUUGAAAUUGCAUAACCAUAAGAAGUUGUCCAGAUCUGUUGUUGUGAGAUCUGAACUUGCUGGAAGUGGGACUCCCAAAUCUGCUUCUGCAUUAUCAGAACUUAAUCUAGGCUCCAAAGUUAGAGGAAUAAGCUUUUAUGCUGUAACUGCUAUAGCUGCCAUCCUACUGAUUGGGCCAAUGCUGGUGGCUCAUCCCUUAGUAUUCUUGUUGGAUCGAUACCAAAGAAAGUUUCAACAUUUAAUUGCUAAAAUUUGGGCGAUGUUAACUGUUUCUCCAUUUUUUAGAAUUGAGUUCGAGGGUUUAGAGAAUCUGCCUCCACCUGAUACUCCUGCUGUGUAUGUUUCCAACCAUCAGAGCUUUUUAGACAUAUUCACUCUUCUUACUCUUGGGAGAAGCUUCAAGUUUAUAAGCAAGACUGGGAUAUUUCUCUUUCCUAUCAUUGGUUGGGCCAUGUGUAUGAUGGGUGUUGUUCCUUUGAAACGCAUGGACAGCAAAAGCCAGCUGGAAUGCUUUAAGAGAUGCAUGGAUCUUAUCAAUAAGGGGGCCUCUGUAUUUUUCUUCCCAGAGGGAACACGGAGUAAAGAUGGAAAAUUAGGUGUUUUCAAGAAGGGUGCAUUCAGUGUUGCAGCUAAAACUGGAGCCCCAGUUGUACCUAUGACCAUUAUGGGAACUGGCAGAAUCAUGCCUGCUGGAAUGGAGGGUAUCUUAAAUUCAGGAUCUGUAAAAGUUGUUAUUCAUGAGCCUUUACGAGGAAGCAACCCAGAUUUAUUGUGCAGUGAAGCUAGAAAAAAUAUUGCAGAUACACUUAGUCUUCAAGGCUGAAAAACUUUCUGCAGAUCAACUAUAUUUUGUACAGGUUAAUAUCUAAUUCCUUGGUAUGGGUCGAAGAAAUAUAAUCUAUGAGGUUGCAUAUUGCCAAAGCUAAGCCAUGUGCAUCACAUCUUGAAAUCAUCCUUAGAAUCGGCAGACCCAUCUUCUGGUAUGCAAUUGGUUUGGCAACUGGCUACUGGCUUUUAUUUUGCUGUCUUAAUUUGGCAUCUGAUAAUCGGUUACUUGCUGGUAAUAAUCCGAACAGAAAAUUCUCUCUGCUUGAGUUGAGCAGUUUACAAUUACUUAUUUCUUUACCACCUUCUUAUACGAAGAUCAAGUGAAACUAAGAAAAGAAAAUGGGAAUGUUGCUCUUCAUGACAAUUGUGGCAUGAUUAAGUCGUAAUGGUGAUAUAAGAGCAAGUAGUCAGAAGCUUAUUUGCACGUACAAUUCUAUGGUCAACUCCCAUUUUUGCAAAUCGUUUAAAAUUUUAUAAAUAUUUAAUGGCCUUAUUUCAUUUA